rnacentral:rRNA from 1 species
UUUGAACGCUGGCGGCAGGCUUAACACAUGCAAGUCGAGCGGGGUGAUGGUGCUUGCACUAUCACUUAGCGGCGGACGGGUGAGUAAUGCUUAGGAAUCUGCCUAUUAGUGGGGGACAACAUCUCGAAAGGGAUGCUAAUACCGCAUACGUCCUACGGGAGAAAGCAGGGGAUCACUUGUGACCUUGCGCUAAUAGAUGAGCCUAAGUCGGAUUAGCUAGUUGGUGGGGUAAAGGCCUACCAAGGCGACGAUCUGUAGCGGGUCCGAGAGGAUGAUCCGCCACACUGGGACGUAAACACGGCCCAGACUCCUACGGGAGGCAGCAGUGGGGAAUAUUGGACAAUGGGGGGAACCCUGAUCCAGCCAUGCCGCGUGUGUGAAGAAGGCCUUAUGGUUGUAAAGCACUUUAAGCGAGGAGGAGGCUCUUUUGGUUAAUACCCAAGAUGAGUGGACGUUACUCGCAGAAUAAGCACCGGCUAACUCUGUGCCAGCCGCCGCAGUAA